UAGGCUCAGGACGAACGCUGGCGGCGUGCCUAACACAUGCAAGUCGAGCGAGGAGAGUUCCUUCGGGAACAAACCUAGCGGCGGACGGGUGAGUAACACGUGGGCAACCUGCCUUGUAGAGGGGAAUAGCCUUCCGAAAGGAAGAUUAAUACCGCAUAACAUUACAUUUUCGCAUGAAGAAGUAAUUAAAGGAGCAAUCCGCUACAAGAUGGGCCCGCGGCGCAUUAGCUAGUUGGUGAGGUAACGGCUCACCAAGGCGACGAUGCGUAGCCGACCUGAGAGGGUGAUCGGCCACAUUGGGACUGAGACACGGCCCAGACUCCUACGGGAGGCAGCAGUGGGGAAUAUUGCACAAUGGGGGAAACCCUGAUGCAGCAACGCCGCGUGAGUGAUGAAGGUUUUCGGAUCGUAAAGCUCUGUCUUCAGGGACGAUAAUGACGGUACCUGAGGAGGAAGCCACGGCUAACUACGUGCCAGCAGCCGCGGUAAUACGUAGGUGGCGAGCGUUGUCCGGAUUUACUGGGCGUAAAGGGAGCGUAGGCGGAUUUUUAAGUGAGAUGUGAAAUACCCGGGCUCAACUUGGGUGCUGCAUUUCAAACUGGAAGUCUAGAGUGCAGGAGAGGAGAGUGGAAUUCCUAGUGUAGCGGUGAAAUGCGUAGAGAUUAGGAAGAACACCAGUGGCGAAGGCGACUCUCUGGACUGUAACUGACGCUGAGGCUCGA
rnacentral:rRNA from 1 species